UACGUAGGGUGCAAGCGUUGUCCGGAAUUAUUGGGCGUAAAGAGCUCGUAGGCGGUCUGUUGCGUCGGCUGUGAAAACCCGGGGCUCAACUCCGGGCCUGCAGCCGAUACGGGCAGACUAGAGUUCGGCAGGGGAGACUGGAAUUCCUGGUGUAGCGGUGAAAUGCGCAGAUAUCAGGAGGAACACCGGUGGCGAAGGCGGGUCUCUGGGCCGAUACUGACACUGAGAAGCGAAAGCGUGGGGAGCGAACAGG
rnacentral:rRNA from 1 species